ACACUUUGUCCAUCAAAUAUAUUUAAAUAAAAUUAGAUUGCAAAAAUAAAAUGUCAAACUUGGAGUCUCCAUUUCUGUACUGAUAGCCAGAUGUAAGAACCGCAACUGUAACUUUAUCGCCGGCAUUAAAGUGUGACAGAACAAGGAUGUGUGCAGAGUGUAAAGGUGGAAGAAUAUUACUCGUGAAAGUGUGUGUGUGUGUUCACAGAGGUAUUUUAAAGUUCCUUUGUUUUUGUUUUUUUCAAACACAGGAGUUAACCCUCAGAUACAAUAGGCAAAAUUUCUAUGAGGUGUACGUUAUGAAUCCAGGCAGUGAACUCAUACUUACACUGGUGCGCACUCACCCAGCUGAUGGUGAACCAGCUGAUGAGCCACUAUGGAAAUGUGAAAUUCGAGCAGAUGACCAUCCAGAGUCUGGUCAAGCCAAAGGUAAGAUAUCACACAAAAGGAGCAUUUAGACGAACCUUUUAUUCAGAUUAUAAAUGAAUGAUUUUUUCUUUUUUUUAAGUAGCCCAGAGUUUAGUGGAAUAUUCUUUGGUGUAGUUAUUUAAUUGUUUUAAUUUGGUGGCACUGAGUCUCUAAUGUUUCAGUUUGGUAGCAUAAUGACAUUCUAAAUGUUUGAACAUUUGUUAAGAAAUUAAAAACUUUCCUUGUUAUUUUUAACAGCUGCAGGAUCCUCAGGGGGAGCAGCUGUGCUUAUGUUCCCCAAUGACUAGGAUAUUGCUUUACAUCUUAGAGAUGAUUAAACUGAAACUAAAGCUUUCUCCUAUAUCGCAUGACCCUGACCUUUGACCUUUGACCUUGAAGUAUUACAUGCUAAGAUGGUGUAUUUAAUUAUCUUCACCCAUGUGAUUGGAGCAGAAUUGGCUGAAAUCUUUGGCUUCUAUAAGCUGUCAAAACUUCAUCAUUGUGAACUGAAAAAAAUAAAGUGUGAUGCACAUCUCCUUCCAUGCCCGCUCACAUGUCGUAUUACUGGAUAUGGAUUUUUUGUUUUUUUACUCGAUUAUGGUUUGACCUUAACCUUCAUUGUUAGCGUCCAAGGUCAAAGUUACUAGUGAAUGUCAAGGUUAUAUGCUUAGCUAGUCUAAGUACUCAUGUCCCCCAAAGCCUAGCAUAUUGUUGUGAACUUUGAAAAUCCAUAAAAAACAGAUUUAUCUAUUUAGACAGGAUGAUCUGGGGCUGAUGCUGUUAGGUAUCAGCUUGUGAUAAGAAACAAAAUGGCACCAUUUAUUACAGAAAGGUUUUAGAAAAGGGCUCCAUAGAACAGAUAUACCUAUUAUAUAUAUAUAUAUAUAUAUAUAUAUAUAUACAUACAUAUACAUAUACAUAUAUAUAUAUACAUAUACAUAUAUA
rnacentral:lncRNA from 1 species